AGUUGAUUGGGUAAUGCCCUGAAGCCUGAUGUGAACUCCCUGUCUGCUAACCAGGUCUCCCAGUCUACCUGAGGAGACACAAGAACUUCUCAAAGGCUGUAUGCACAGGGGAAAGUCCUGCCCGCAGGUGUUGAGAACAUACUUCCAUGGGACCUCGGAGGCCACCAGAUCUUUCAUGCAGUUCAGGUAGACAUCAUACACAUCAAAUGAACUUGACUGUGGGGCAGAGGAGAUAGAGACGUCAAUGCCUGGUUUUAUGCUUGCCUGCACUGGUGCAGCCAUUUCCACAGUAUUGCCUCCUAUUUUAUCUAGAAGAUGGCAUCAGCUUUGUUCUGCCUCUCACCUCAGUUCUACCCCUUCAGAUACUACAGGCGCAAAAGCAUCGGGAAUCACCUGGCUGUCCUUGACUUUGCAACUCGCCCGGUUUGCCUAUGAAGCCAUAGAUGUAGGAGUUGGUGCUUGGUUGCAGGGGUACCCUGUGCCUAAUCUGAAAUGCCAGUAGGGUGCUUCUAGAAAUGUCUGUGGUUAUUUUGGAUAAUACCAGUCAUUUUAAGAAGAAUGAGUAUGGGCCAGUGAGACGGCUCAGCAGGAAAGGCUCUUGCCAACAAGCCUGACCACCUGAGUUCCAUCUCUGGGACCCAUGAGGUGGAAGGAGAGAAGACUUCCAUAGGUUGUCCUUUGACAUCCACAUGUACACAGAGGCACCUAUGCAUGCAUGCACACACACCCAUAAAUAAUAAAAAAUGAAGAUGAUUAU